rnacentral:misc_RNA from 1 species
AACAUCGCGCACCUGCGGGAACCUGCGGAGGGAUCAUCAUUGAAAUCCAUAUUUGGAUCACCCUGUGAACUGUGUAAGUGGGGGCAGUAGUGAGUGGAGGUUAGGGGUAGUGACCAGGGGGAGUAGUGUGCGUGGUAUAUGCCACUACAUCUACUGCUGCGCUACCAUACUACUACUACUGCUGCUACUUACGUUAUAUGGGUUACGCUGCGCUGUUAGGGCGGUAUAUGUGGCGGGACU